rnacentral:lncRNA from 1 species
CAAUACAGUGUAGGGUGACAAUACGACAGUAAGUAUGAAUCUACAAAUGGAAAUUUAGCAUGAACUUCAUCUAGUCCUCACAUCUUCAGUUAGCACACAGGGUAAUUACUCUCUGAGCUGAUGGAAACAGAACAUACAGCAUAAAUGGAUAUCCAAAAGCUUCAUAAUUCAAAGUUGCACUAUACCUCACAGGUAGAAACUUAAAUAGCUAGUGACGUCCAAACAUCUCUUCAUGGAGGAUUUUAUUUGGCAAGAACCUAUUGCAAUACAAAGCAAACAUAGGUAUGAGAUGGAAAUCUGAGAAAGGCAGAUGUACACACACGCAGUCAAGCACAAAAGGCGAGAAUGUAGAUCAAGUAAAGAGGCAGAGGAUUGUUGGAGGGCAAAGAGGAUCCAUCUCACAGCCUGUAAUGGUACUGUCCACAGCACAGCAUAGCAUCCAUCUCAAAUUACACACAGCAUCUGAGAGCUGAUAUAGCAAGGAACUAAAAACAGAUGCAAUGUUCUCCGUGAGCUGCACUGCAAUGUUCCAGCCUUCCAGGUGCCACGAUUCCAUAGUGCAACAUCGUGUCUUCAGUGGACAUGGCACGAAAUCUUGCUCAUCAUCGGCGGAUGAAACACAUUGAGCUCGAAGUCCACUUUGUUUGAGAAAAGGUGGCUCGGAGAGCUACGGGUCCUGCAGAUUCCAAGCACACGCUAGUUCACGGAUAUCUUCACAAAGGAUUUCUCGUCAUCACUGUUCAAUGACUUCAGAGACAGUCUCUGCAUCAGCAGGGACUGGGGGGGGGGGGGGGUGGGGGGGUGUUAGCGGAGUAGUCUACGCAUGCCGAAUUGUAAGCGCUGGACGUGGUCGACGCGAUCCCUGAGGACACAGCGCCACUCACCAAGUCUCCGGAUGCUGUGCCAUGCUGUGACACUUGCCACGCCCAGCAUGUCCUUGUGCUGCGCUAGCUCACUAUGCCGAUUUUGUAGGAUAGUCUGUUUUGAGCCAUUCCUCAUCUGUAUUUGUAUAAAUCUGUACACAAGAGAUCAAUAGAAGACUCCCUCUUUCCGG